rnacentral:misc_RNA from 1 species
GAAAUGCGAUACUUAGUGUGAAUUGCAGAAUUCAGUGAAUCAUCGAGACCUUGAACGCAAAUUGCACCUGCAGUCAUCUGCAGGUACGUCUGUUUGAGUGCCUCCGCAGCUGUCCCCGAGGGGGCGAAUUGGGUGUCCAAGCGCGAGCUUGGUCUCCUCAAAUGCGUGCGGAGCUCCGCGGCAAAUUCCCUCUGGUUCCAAAACGGCGCGUGGCACGGCUUCGUGGCAUCGUUUCGUCGCUAGUAAGACCAAAGGUUUGCCGCGCAAAGGGGCUUCCGAAGGGAAAAAGUGGCCGAUUCCUGGCCACUCGGAGAGACUCGAUCUCUACCGAACAACUUGGCCUCAAAUCAGACGAGAUUACCCGCUGAACUUAA